rnacentral:rRNA from 1 species
UACGAAGGGGGCUAGCGUUGCUCGGAAUCACUGGGCGUAAAGCGCACGUAGGCGGAUUGUUAAGUCAGGGGUGAAAUCCUGGAGCUCAACUCCAGAACUGCCUUUGAUACUGACGGUCUUGAGUUCGGGAGAGGUGAGUGGAACUGCGAGUGUAGAGGUGAAAUUCGUAGAUAUUCGCAAGAACACCAGUGGCGAAGGCGGCUCACUGGCCCGAUACUGACGCUGAGGUGCGAAAGCGUGGGGAGCAAACGGG